UUUCUACUUUUUCGGACUUGUUCUGCAGUUUCCUUUGGAUUAAUGCUUUACCUCUGAAUUUCUGCUGUUGUGGCUGACAUCCCGAACUUGUUCUUGUCCAAAUUCUACUCUUGGAGAACUGAGCUAGGGAGAUCUCAUCCUGACAUCUACUUUCAUGUCCAUAAGGACUGGGGAAAGACAUAGCAAGACGGCGCAAGCACAUGGCACUUUUGCUCAUACUUCUUUGCCCAAAUUUCUCUGAAUCUUGCUGAAUUCCGAAGGCAAGCACCAGCAGCUGCAGUAUGAAUCCCUGCUCUAGGCAGACCUGGAAUUCUGUGAAGUCAGAGCAGAAGUGAGAGAAGAUCUAUCCAGCUGUCCUACUGGGUCCCAGGUAACUCUGACAAAUUAGAAUCAGCUCUGCUCCUGACAGGACAUCCCAAGGAAUCUGAUUUCUAAAGCUCACACUGAUAAUAAACCUUUGUUCUAUAGAGAUGAUAAUUGUGUU
rnacentral:lncRNA from 1 species